rnacentral:rRNA from 1 species
ACGCACCAGGCGCGAAACUUUACAAUGUGCGAAAGCACGAUAAGGGAACUCUGAGUGCCUCCUAAGGAGGCUGUUCAGGUGUCUAAAAGCACCUGAAGGAAGGGCUGGGUAAGACCGGUGCCAGCCGCCGCGGUAACACCGGCAGCCCAAGUGGUAGCCACGUUUAUUGGGUCUAAAGCGUCCGUAGCCGGCUGGGUAAGUUCCUUGGGAAAUUUGGCUGCUUAACAGUCAAGCUUUCAGGGAAUACUGCCCGGCUUGGGACCGGGAGAGGUCAGAGGUACUCCAGGGGUAGGGGUGAAAUCCAUUAAUCCUUGGGGGACCACCGGUAGCGAAGGCGUCUGACCAGACCGGGUCCGACGGUGAGGGACGAAGGCUAGGGGCGCGAGCCGGAUUAGAUACCCCGGUAGU